CCGGCCCGGGCCCCUGCGGAGGACUUUGAAGGGGACCCCAAGGAAACGCGGCCUCCCGGACUCCCUUGCUGCCUCGCUGCUCCAUGGCAGGCCUGCCUCCGCUGUUUCCUCACUGGGCUGGUUCUGACUGCGCAGACCAGGCCUGGAGGCACCAGCGUGUCUGGAUUUAUGAGAAUGUUGCUGAGUGAAUUCUGUCUCCUGCAGGGCAUUGUCCUUCUUCCUCCUUUUUGGACAUCAGCCCAUCCUGCGAGUUUAGGUGGUUUUCAUUAAGGAAGUUCCUCCAUGUAAUUUUGCUGCAGUGACUCUGUGGAUGUUUUCUGAGUUAGGCUCUGCACAGGGAGAACUGGUGGGCAGAGGGUGUGUGAUUAUGUACAUGAGCCUGGGGCGGAUAGGAGGAAAAAUGGAGAAGAAAAGAAUAGUUUCGAAUAAUUGGGGGAAACAGUCCCAUUUUAAUUUGCAUAUAUAAUCUGAGGCUUUGAAUAUUUAGGUUUUAAUAUUUCACAAUAAAAUGAGGAAGAUACCAAAAAAAAAAAAAAAAUCACAAUAAACAGAUUUGUCUUCACAGAGAAAGAAACCAAACGAGUUCCUUGCAGAAGAGUUUUACCUCCACUGUACCUUUGAUGGUCACCAAUAACCCCAUGAGGCAGGUCACGUUAUCACCACACCAGGGCCCAGGAAAGGAAAGCUCAGAGAAGGUGGCAUUUGCAGUCCAGGCAUGCGCCACAAUGGCUCAGAGAUCUCCCUGCCAUAGAGAAGAAGAGAAAUGCCACAUUUCUGGCCAGGAUGCAGGAAGCUGAAUGUGAUAGCUUCGAAGAGGAGGAAGGAAGCCACAGUGAGGAAGAAGAGGGAAUGAAGAUUUGGAGUACAGGUGGCCACAGAGAAGGGCAGGAAAGAUGACUGGGCCUUGGAGGCAGAAGUUGUAACACAUGCUAGUGGCCCACUGGGCAUUCCCAGUGGUUUUCCCAGCCCCCAAAACAGUGAGGGUCUCCAACCGGGGAAAGAAGAACUAAAGCUGCCAAGUC
rnacentral:lncRNA from 13 species